CCUACGGGAGGCUGCAGUGAGGAAUAUUGGUCAAUGGGCGGAAGCCUGAACCAGCCAAGUAGCGUGCGGUAUGAAGGCCCUAUGGGUCGUAAACCGCUUUUGCACGGGGAUAACACCCUCCACGCGUGGAGGUCUGCAGGUACCGUGCGAAUAAGGGCCGGCUAAUUCCGUGCCAGCAGCCGCGGUAAUACGGAAGGCCCGAGCGUUAUCCGGAUUCAUUGGGCUUAAAGGGAGCGUAGGCGGGCGAUAAAGUAAGCUGUAAAAUCCCGCGGCUCAACCGGGCACCGCCGUUGAAACUGGACGCCUUGAGUUCACAACAGGCAGGCGGAAUGCGUGGUGUAGCGGUGAAAUGCAUAGAGAUCA
rnacentral:rRNA from 1 species